GUUUACCUGGCUAAGGCAUGACACCGCUUCCCUUUCAGAUUCCGGUGCAGUCCUCUGACCAUAUUGGGAAGGAUAUGUAAAAUGAUACGAGUUUCAGGGAAUAAGAAUGGGGGUGAGAGGAAUCACUGAGGAUGCCCAAGGACAAAGCAGCCGGAACAAGACAGAGUUUCUCUUGUUGCCCAGGCUGGAGUGCAAUGGCGUGAUCUUAGCUCAUCGCAACCUCUGCCUCCCAGGUUCAAACAAUUCUCCUGCCUCAGUCUCCUGAGUAGCUGGAAUUACAGUUUAUAGCUCAGCAGUCCCAAGAUGGCCGAAUAGGAACAGCUCCAGUCUACAGCUCCCAGCGUGAGUGAUGCAGAAGAUGGGUGACUUCUGCAUUUCCAACCAAGGUACCGGGUUUAUCUCACUGGGGCUUGUUGGACAGUGGGUGCAAUCCACGAAGUGUGAGCCAAAGCAGGGCGGGGCAUCACCUCACCCAGGAAGUGCAAGAGGUCGGGGAAUUCCCUUUCCUAGCUGAGGGAAGCCAUGACAGAUGGUACCUGGAAAAUCGGGACACUCCCAUCCUGAUACUGCACUUUUCCAAAGGUCUUAGCAAAUGGCACACCAGGAGAUUAUAUCCCACGCCUGGCUCAGAGGGUCCCACGCCCACGGAGCCUCGCUCACUGCUAGCACAGCAGUCUGAGACUGAACUGCAAGGUGGCAAUGAGGCUGGGGGAGGGGGGUCCACCAUUGCUGACGUUUGAGUAGGUAAACAAAACACUCCAGCCUGGGCGACGGACUGAGACUCUGUCUCAAAAAAAAAAAAAAGAAGACAUUUAUGCAGCC
rnacentral:lncRNA from 1 species